rnacentral:lncRNA from 10 species
CCAUGAGGAGUGGCUGCCUCUUGAAUCCUGUCAGUCUCCGGCAGAUCCGAUUACAUCUGGGACCCUUAAGAGUACUUGAAGCAAACGGCGCUGGUCUAUUUUAAUCCUGCUCCUUCUAGAAACUAGAAACGGAAAGAACUAUUCCUUCCAGCCCAGAACACUGUCUCUGAACAGCAAGAUGGCUUUGAAACGCUUUCACAACGAAGGUAAGGAUUUGUUGUACUAAGCUCACCCAGCAUCUCUUGGGGCCACAUUUUCAAGAUGGCUGACCCUGUUUUUUGAGGGUCAGUAAGUUGGAAUCAGAGGGUUAUAUAGAGUUGGAAGUUAUAUCAAAAGAAUGCAGGGGAAGCUAAAAUGAUUCUUAUUGUUCCCAUUCUAUGG